GAUGAAGAACGUAGCGAAAUGCGAUACUUGGUGUGAAUUGCAGAAUCCCGUGAACCAUCGAGUCUUUGAACGCAAGUUGCGCCCGAAGCCUCGGCUAAGGGCACGUCUGCCUGGGCGUCACGCAUCGCGUCUCCCCCAAACCGCCAAGGCGGAGGGGAAGGAAGAUGGCUUCCCGUGCCUCACCCGGGCGCGGUUGGCCUAAAUUUGGAGCCCGCGGCACUUAGCUCUCGCGGCGAUAGGUGGUGAACAAGGCCUUGGCCGUGCAAACAACCCGCUGCGAAGCUCUAUGUCACGUGCGCUCGUCGGACCCUUUGAAGUUGCCUUUGGUGACUUAAAACCUUUGCGACCCCAGGUCAGGCGGGGCUACCCGCUGAAUUUAAGCAUAUCAAUAAGCGGAGGA
rnacentral:misc_RNA from 1 species